UACUACGGCUCAGAAACUAGCAAUACUUGAACAUGGUUAGAUUAACAAAGUUUCUCACAAGCCCUCAGUGUAAGCGACACCAGUAGAUUUCAACCAUACUCCUCCUUGAAUCAGCUGACUUACUGUGAAUUUCGUCGCCUCUGAA